rnacentral:lncRNA from 1 species
AGCUUGCUGUCCUGCUGAAACUUCUAGGACCUGGUGCCGAGUGCUUUUGAGAUCACCUUACUUGGAUUUUGGUUUAAAAACAAGGGGGAGAUUUAGGGUAAUUUCUAGAUUAUUGUGAGAUUUGACUCUGAUGUUUAGGCUGCUGUAAAACAGGAAAUGAGAGACAGGAUCUUGCUGUAUUGCCCAGGCCGGUCUUGAACUCCUGAGUUCAAGCAGUCCACCUUGGCCUCCCAAAAUGCUGGGAUUACAAGCAUGAGCCACCAUGCCUGGUCUGAUUUUGGAAAAAUUAAAGAAUAUGGAGAUAGCUUGGUGAAAGAGACCCAGAUGGUUUGGGAUUUCUGUUUUUAUAUAAGAGCAGUGUCCCAAGAGACAGCGAAAACCCCAGCUCGGAGCCCACAGAGCCCAUCCUUCAUCUGCUCCUGUGUGUGCGUUUUCCUUCUGUGCUGUCCCGUGUAGAACAGCGAGAGUCCAACCAGCCUGAUGAGUCUCAUGAGAUGAGGAAUGGUGGCUUAGGAAGCAUUUUGGAUAAUUCACAGAUGGAUUCAGUGGAAAAGACAACAAAUAGAAGUGAACAAAAAUCCAG